rnacentral:lncRNA from 1 species
GGCUUUAGUAUCAUGUUAACUGGUGGCGAAACAGGAAUGAGUCAUAAUGAAUAUUGCUUAACGGUACUCAUUGUGGACUAGCUCUAGGUCUAUGGCUAUUAGUCCUUCUGAAGCCCAUCGCUAAUCCUCUAUGGCAGUGUGUGAUAUUAAUGCAUAAGCUAUUCCAUGUUGGAGAAUGUUAAUAUCUAGUAAUCACAUUAAGGUAUCUAAUGGAAUAUGGACAUCCUCGAUCUUUUUCC